rnacentral:tRNA from 1 species
GCAUCUGUAGCCUAGUUGGUAAAGGAAGCACUCUUGUAUGUGACCCAGCAUUGCUGAGGUUGUGAGUUCAAAUCUCACCAGGCACA